CAAACAAACACACUGACUCAAUUGCUCACACCUGCAGUCAAUUUUGAGUCACCAAUUCACGUAACCUGCAUAUCUUUGGAGGUGGGAGGAAGUCAGAUUAUCAGAGGAAA